rnacentral:rRNA from 1 species
GAUGAACGCUGGCGGCGUGCCUAAUACAUGCAAGUCGAACGAACAGACAGUAAGCUUUCUCCUCUGACGUUAGCGGCUGACGGGUGAGUAACGCGUGGAUCGCCUACCUCUAAUACUGGGGUAACUUCGUGGGACCGGUUCUAAUACCGGAUCAUAUGUUCAACCGCUUGAUUCAAUAGAUAAAGACAGCUUUGCUGUCACUUUGAGAUGAAUUCGCGUCGCAUUAGCUAGUUGGUAAGGUAACGGCUCACCAAGGCGACGAUGCGUAGCCGAUCUGAGAGGAUGAUCAGCCACACUGGAACUGAGACACGGUCCAGACUCCUACGGGAGGCAGCAGUAGGGAAUAUUCGGCAAUGGGCGAAAGCCUGAUGCAGCAAUGCCGCGUGAGUGAAGAAGGUCUUCGGAUCGUAAAACUCUGUUAUUGGGGAAGAACAGCAGCGGAAGUAUAUAUGGACGUUUUGACGGUACCUAAUGAGAAAGCCACGGCUAACUACGUG